AGUCUACACCCACAUGUCUAAGGAUCCGAGUAAUCACUGCACCAAAUCCACAUGCAUUGCUCUUUUUUUUGGUUACUUUCCCCUUGUAUCCUGCUAAGUUUUCGGCCAGCACCGCUCCCAUGUUGAAGGCAGUAGCAGGUGGGAAUGUAGAGUUUCCAAAUGCCGGUAGCAAAUGCCUCACACCUUGGUACAGGAGGCACAACUCCCAUUGCGUGACUGAUGCGGCUGUGGUUGUCCCGUAUAGCAAUGAGCCAAUGAGGCGUGGGGCAUAUCUCAGUACUGGGCUUCGGAUAAGUGACUCCUUUGUCUGAGAAGAUCUAUAAACCCCUGUGCCAAUCGUUUCCCAGAAGUUCAAUAGCUCUGAAGUCCAAUAAAUACCAGAUGUCCUCUCCCCUGCACUCAAUCCAAAGAGUCCGCAGAGGUCUGUGAAAGAUAUCUCAUAGUAUACUUUCUGCACGACGAAUGCCAGAAAACCUUCCUGAUGGCUAUCAUCGGGACGGCUGACGUAUGCGGAUGCUAUGAACUGGCGUACCAACUCCGGAUAAGUGGGUUCGUUGAGGUUGCAUAGUUGGCCUAGACCCAUGUUCUGGAACAGUCCUUCAAUGUCUGCUUUGAUUCCCAAUAUUGUCAUCGUCUCAGGACAUGCUAGUUGUGUAGCCGGAACGGCUACCUUCUUCAUGUUGUUGUAGUGGGUGGUGUCAGACUUAUACCACUUCUUUGGCCUUUGCUUCUCUCGCUGAGACGAACCCUCUUCUUGUGUGUUCUUCUUUGCUGAUGUUUUCGUGCGCUUCAUUCUCUACAAAAUA